UUCUGCAGUUUUCCUGUACAAAACAGUUUAAAUACGCUCACACUAACGGCUACACCACAAGUUUCUCUUCAUCACUUGAAGACGAGUGAUAAUCUCCUCCGGACCCAAGGAUGAAUGCCAAAGCCAUGCUGAUUGCUCUCGUGGCUUGCGCCUUAUUAGUAGCCAGCACCGAGGCGUGCGGCGGCGAAGGCCGCUCCGAGUCUGGUCGCUGCGGUGGCAGCGAAGGGCGCAGCGAGCACGGGAAGCCGAGGCACGCCAGGAGAGCGAGGCUGCCCGCUGCGGUGGAUCUUCUGGUCGUUGCGAUGGCUAGUUCUGCCAUAAGAAACCUUAUCAACGUGCCUUCAUGGCCGUUUGCUGAAGAUAUUGUUGUUGGAGCAAGAGCGAUCUUGAUCAUGAGCGCUUGAAAGUAUUGUCAGACCUAAUAAAGGUGUUCAAGCUUGCCUA